CAGCACAGGUACCAGCUCCCCAGCUCCCCACCUCGAGUCCAUUCCUGUUUGGAAACCUCUUCCAACCACAGCGGGAACAAAGGUGGAUCUCUGUCCUGCCUCUGGGGGCUAGGCUGGUUGGUGGCUUCAGGCCCAGCCAGAAAGUCCCUGCCUCACACUCCGGCAGUCCCCGGACCUGGGAGCCUCUCACACCCCCGCCCAGGCUCCCCUGGGGCCUCCACCUUCCUCGGCAGUCUCCCCUCCUCGUGCAAGGCGCAGGCCGCCUGCCUGGAGCGGGGACCCUCUGGAUCUCAGGAUAAACAAACCAUCGCUCUGGCCCAGCCCUCCGCCGGCUCGCGCUCCCCGCCCCCUCCUGCCGCAGUGCACAGCCGCUCUGCCGCUCUGCUCCGCUGCCAACUUGGCAGCUCGUCUCUGCUGUUACUAUCAACACCUCCGAGGGAAAAGAGAGAGAACUCAGCUCUCUCUGAUCGCUUGGCGCACCGAGCAGCGAAUUCGUGUCAGAGCCAGCCCUGGAAUACCUCCGAAGCUCCCAAGACUUCCUUGGCGUGGAAGAAAAGGAACCCUUCUCCCAUAUGUGAAACUGAUCUGAGACCCCCUCUAUUCCCCUCUCUGGAUGUCUGAAAAUGACCAAGAGAGACACAACCACUUUUCUGGUGAGAAGCCCCCAGAUCCCCAAAGGCCAGCUGACUUUCCAGUAGGCAAGAGGAACAGAGAAUUCAUUCAGUGUGCAGGGUUGUAAACAAGCCACGAAGGACUGUGCCAUUCCAGGCUGCACCUGUGAGCAUCCUUCUGCUGAAGCCCUGUCAGCGUUUCCAUGACAAACUCGUGUUUCCGGAUGCCUCUCUCCCAGCUUCAGGAGGAUGCCUUGCAAUGAAACGCAACACUGAAAAUGCCUUCAUAAUUUUCUCCCUAAAAAAGGUUGCAUGCUCUAAAAUUCCACCUGCCUGUUAUAUGUGUUUGCUUUUUAUUCUGAGAGUUUUGUUGGUAUUCUGUUUAUACUGUAUACCUGCAAGCAUAUGAUAUCCACGUGGGAGUUCUGUGCUGGAGAGCUGUGGUAGCAAAUACACCACCACAUAGUGUGAUGAGACAUCUCUCUUCCCUAAAACGUCUCCUACAUCCAUUUGCCCAUCCCAAAGCCUGAAAUACCACCAUUAGGGAUUUACCACUUUUGAACUUGAAUGAUUAUCCAUCCCUAAGAGUCUACUGUGACAAUGUACCAACCCCUGAUAGGGACUAAGCUACCAUUUGAUGAGGGGCUAGCCAAAGAACCAUGAGACAUCAGGAAGGAUGACCAAAGGGUGCAUGCAUGCAUGCUAAGUCGCUUCAGUUGUGUCCAACUCUGUGACCCCAUGGACUAUAGCCCGCCAGGCUCCUCUGUCCAUGGGAUUCUCCAGGCAAGAAUAGUAGAGUGGAUUGCCAUGCCCUCGUCCAGGGGAUCUUC
rnacentral:lncRNA from 1 species